rnacentral:rRNA from 1 species
AGAGUGGCANACGGGUGAGUAACGCGUGGGAACAUACCCUUUUCUACGGAAUAGCUCUGGGAAACUGGAAUUAAUACCGUAUACGCCCUACGGGGGAAAGAUUUAUCGGGGAAGGAUUGGCCCGCGUUGGAUUAGCUAGUUGGUGGGGUAAAGGCCUACCAAGGCGACGAUCCAUAGCUGGUCUGAGAGGAUGAUCAGCCACAUUGGGACUGAGACACGGCCCAAACUCCUACGGGAGGCAGCAGUGGGGAAUAUUGGACAAUGGGCGCANGCCUGAUCCAGCCAUGCCGCGUGNGUGAUGAAGGCCUUAGGGUUGUAAAGCUCUUUCACCNANGAAGAUAAUGACGGUAGUCGGANAAGAAGCCCCGGCNAACUUCUUGCCNCACCGCGGUAAUACNAAGGGGGC